UACGUAGGGGGCAAGCGUUGUCCGGAAUCAUUGGGCGUAAAGAGCGUGUAGGCGGCUCGGUAAGUCCGCUGUGAAAGUCCAGGGCUCAACCCUGGAAUGCCCGGUGGAAACUGUCGAGCUAGAGUCCGGAAGAGGCGAGUGGAAUUCCUGGUGUAGCGGUGAAAUGCGCCAGAUAUCAGGAGGAACACCAAUGGCGAAGGCAGCUCGCUGGGACGGUACUGACGCCUGGAGGCACGAA
rnacentral:rRNA from 1 species